UACAGGGGGGGCAAGCGUUGUUCGGAAUUACUGGGCGUAAAGGGCUCGUAGGCGGCCAACUAAGUCCGACGUGAAAUCCCAAGGCUUAACCUUGGAACUGCGUCGGAUACUGGUUGGCUUGAAUUCGGGAGAGGGAUGCAGAAUUCCAGGUGUAGCGGCGAAAUGCGUAGAUAUCUGGAGGAAUACCGGUGGCGAAGGCGGCAUCCUGGACCGGCAUUGACGCUGAGGAGCGAAAGCCAGGGGAGCAAACGGG
rnacentral:rRNA from 1 species